UGCAAUCAAUGAUGAAUAAUAUCGUCCAUAUUUAAUGAUAAUCCCGUGAUUAUUAAUCACUAGAUCACCAUCUUUCGGCUGAGAUUGCA
rfam:Brassica napus, WGS project CCCW01000000 data, contig: 5198